rnacentral:rRNA from 1 species
UACAGAGGUCCCAAGCGUUUGUUCGGAUUCACUGGGCGUAAAGGGUGCGUAGGCGGUCGGGUAAGUCUGGCGUGAAAUCUCCAAGCCUAACUUGGAACUGCGUUGGAUACUAUCCGGCUCGAGGAAUGGAGGGGAGACUGGAAUACUUGGUGUAGCAGUGAAAUGCGUAGAUAUCAAGUGGAACACCAGUGGCGAAGGCGAGUCUCUGGACAUUUCCUGACGCUGAGGCACGAAAGCCAGGGGAGCAAACGGGG